CUCUCUCUCUCUCUCUCUCUCUCAGAACAAUAAACACCUCAUCGGCACAACCUUUGUGUCUCCACCUCUUCCCCGAAUUCGGAUCCUCUUCACCAAUAGACACCCACCCUCUGCGCUAUAGACGGUGCUCUUCAUUUCCCUUACAACCUUUUGAAACUCAUUGGCUUGGGAAAGACCUGCAAUUUUGGUGGCAAGCGAUCGAUUAUGCUCGGUUGAAUCACAGUACGAUUACAUUCUUCAAUUUCUCCAAACCAGAGACCGCAGCUUCUCGCUGGAGUCGAGUCAGGUUGAAUGCUUCCAAGUUUCUCUGUGCAAUAAAGUAUAUGCUCAAGAGAUUGAAGAUGACAAAGCUAUUGACCAUCAUGAAUUGAUCGAUGAAGAAAAUCUUCAGUUAAAUUCUGCGACUGCUG